rnacentral:rRNA from 2 species
UACGUAGGUGGCAAGCGUUGUCCGGAUUUAUUGGGUUUAAAGGGUGCGUAGGCGGUCUUUUAAGUCAGUGCUGAAAUACUCCAGCUUAACUGGAGGGGUGGCAUUGAUACUGGAAGACUCGAGUGGAGUCGAAGUAGGCGGAAUUGACGGUGUAGCGGUGAAAUGCUUAGAUAUCGUCAAGAACACCGAUAGUGAAGACAGCUUACUAGGCUUCAACUGACGCUGAGGCACGAAAGUGUGGGGAUCAAACAGG